CAAAAAUAUGUCUAUUUAUACACAAUAAUAUUGAUCAAUGGUCCCACAAUAACAUGCUGCUGAUACUUUAAUUAAGGUACAUUAUCAGGCCUUAAAAUAUCUUUUACAGGGCCGUCUGACAAAAUGUCCGGUGAUGUUGAAUUUGGGUCGGACAUAUGUCCGAUGACCUUCAGUUCAGUUUGACUCGGAAAUAAGUCUGAAUGACACAAAUGAAUAAAUGGUAAAUGUUGUAAAGAUAUUAAAUAAUUUGUUCCUUUCAUACUUAUUUCCAAGCCAAAAUUAACUUGCUUUCCAGAACAGCAGUAUUAAAAAAAAGAUUUCGACAAAGUAAGCCCGUCUUCCACUUCACCAUUUCGCUCGCCGCCCCACGCUCGACUACGUUAAUUAAAACAACAUUUCCAGUUCACCUUUUAUACAAUUACUCGGAUUUUCCAUUUAACAUACAAGCCUCUAGUCCUGGGCUAGGGUACAUUUUGAUUUACGUCGGACAAAGCUACAGUUUGGUCGGACACCAAUACACUCGGGUCGGACAAACAAUAAACCUCAGUUUCACCUUGGUCGGACAGAAUGUCCGGUGGUUUCCUUUCUACGUCGGACAAUUUCACGAAUGGGUCGGACAAUGUCCGUGACCGACCGAUAUUUUAAGGCCUGUACAUUAUAUGAGAAUACAAAAAUAACCUGCAUAUAAUGCACCUAUCAAUGUUAACUCCCAAAGGGGGGGGGGGGUUGGGCAUAUGUGGGGUAUUUGAUCAUUAAUUGCAUCUCCACCCCAGGGAUUUUGAUUAGCCAUAGUUAACUAUGGAUUAGCAUUUGGGCCCAAGUUAGGGCAAUUUGAAUCAAAAUUAUUUUUAUUAAUAUAGUAUUUAUUGCGAUUUAUUGCAAAAUGGUAGGGUAUUUGACCAAUAUUUAUUGCCCAACAGUGGGGCAUUUGACCCCCCUCUCUGGGGCUUAACAUUGAUAGGUGCAUAAGAACCACCAUUUCUCAAACUUUGUCUGAAUUAGUUGUGUAACAGCAUUUAUACAAAAUACUGUUAAAAAAGGCCAAGUGGGCCUUCACUGCUAUAAAAGGCAUUCUAUUCAAUGGCAUUAUAGGACCAACAUUUCCAUGGCGUUGUUCUCCAAAGCAUCGAGCAGCGUUAUAAAUCAGAUUGUCUUUUUUACCAGCAUGAAGUACAGACAUAGCCUUGGCAACAAUUGGGAUGAGGGACAAAUUUAGCAUCUAAACCAGGAGCAUCUAAACCAGCAUCUUUACCAGCCAUUUUUGAAACGGGUGGAUGAGUAGCUGUUCUUGUUGUCACUGCAUGGGUUAGUUUUGAAAAUCCAGAAGUUAUGUCAAGUCAUCAUAUCAUAUCAGUA